UUUGGAGAGUUUGAUCCUGGCUCAGGACGAACGCUGGCGGCGUGCCUAAUACAUGCAAGUCGAGCGGAGCUUAUCCUUCGGGAUAAGCUUAGCGGCGGACGGGUGAGUAACACGUAGGCAACCUCCCCUCUAGACUGGGAUAACUACCGGAAACGGUAGCUAAUACCGGAUAAUUCCUUCACCCUCAUGGGCGAGGGAUGAAAGGCGGAGUAAUCUGCUACUAGAGGAUGGGCCUGCGGCGCAUUAGCUAGUUGGUGGGGUAACGGCCUACCAAGGCGACGAUGCGUAGCCGACCUGAGAGGGUGAACGGCCACACUGGGACUGAGACACGGCCCAGACUCCUACGGGAGGCAGCAGUAGGGAAUCUUCCGCAAUGGGCGAAAGCCUGACGGAGCAACGCCGCGUGAGUGAUGAAGGUUUUCGGAUCGUAAAGCUCUGUUGCCAGGGAAGAACGUCCGGUAG
rnacentral:rRNA from 1 species